UGGGGGAUAUUGCACAAUGGGCGAAAGCCUGAUGCAGCGACGCCGCGUGGGGGAUGAAGGCCUUCGGGUUGUAAACUUCUUUUGCUCUGAACAAGGCGCACCAUGGGGUGUGUUGAGUGUAGGGGUUGAUUAGCGCCGGCUAACUACGUGCCAGCAGCCGCGGUAAUACGUAGGGCGCGAGCGUUGUCCGGAAUUAUUGGGCGUAAAGGGCUUGUAGGUGGCUGGUUGCGUCUGUCGUGAAAGCUCAUGGCUUAACUGUGGGUUUGCGGUGGGUACGGGCUGGCUUGAGUGCAGUAGAGGAGGCUGGAAUUCCUGGUGUAGCGGUGGAAUGCGCAGAUAUCAGGAGGAAUACCGGUGGCGAAGGCGGGUCUCUGGGCUGUUACUGACACUGAGGAGCGAAAGCAUGGGGAGCGAACAGG
rnacentral:rRNA from 1 species